rnacentral:rRNA from 1 species
UACGAAGGGGGCUAGCGUUGCUCGGAAUUACUGGGCGUAAAGCGCACGUAGGCGGCUCUUUAAGUCGGGGGUGAAAUCCUGGAGCUUAACUCCAGAACUGCCUUCGAUACUGGAGAGCUCGAGUCCGGGAGAGGUGAGUGGAACUGCGAGUGUAGAGGUGAAAUUCGUAGAUAUUCGCAAGAACACCAGUGGCGAAGGCGGCUCACUGGCCCGGUACUGACGCUGAGGAGCGAAAGCGUGGGGAGCAAACAGG